CAGUAGCCGCGGUAACACGGAGGGUGCAAGCGUUAAUCGGAAUUACUGGGCGUAAAGCGCACGCAGGCGGUCUGUCAAGUCAGAUGUGAAAUCCCCGGGCUUAACCUGGGAACUGCAUUUGAAACUGGCAGGCUAGAGUCUUGUAGAGGGGGGUAGAAUUCCAGGUGUAGCGGUGAAAUGCGUAGAGAUCUGGAGGAAUACCGGUGGCGAAGGCGGCCCCCUGGACAAAGACUGACGCUCAGGUGCGAAAGCGUGGGGAGCAAACAGGAUUAGAUACCCCAGUAGUCCCUGUCUCUUAUAC
rnacentral:rRNA from 1 species